GGUUUCAUGUGGUUCAGAGAGGAGGGACUCAGUGUUCACAGAUCUGACAUGAUCUAAUUAUGAUCAUCUGACAGAGACUGUGGUAGAAACGAUUCAGUCUGAUUCUUCUCAGAGUGAACACUUGCACAAUGGAUCUUUCUUCAAUUAUACUGUUCUGUGCCUCAGCAGCUGCUGUCUUUGGAAAUGUCAUCAAAACAAAGAAAACUGAUGUUUUUUAUGAAGAGGGUUCAGAAAUUGUAUUGUCCUGUAGUCAAUCACCUGGAGCUUCAGAUAAUAUCUACUGGUACCGUCAGUAUGAAAGAUCAAAACCUGAAUUUCUUGUACUCACCUACGGUAAUUCAAAAGAACCUGCCGUGUCUGCUGUAGAUCCAAGAAUCUCUGUUAAACCUGAAAAAAAAGAGGAACAAAUCCAUGCAGAUCUGAAGAUCUCUUCUGCUGCUGUAUCAGACUCUGCUCUGUACUACUGUGCUCUGAGGCCCACAGUGACAGGAAACACAUCAGCUCUCUACAAAAACCUGUUACAAUGAGACACAGGAGAAAAAAGACAGCAAGAAAUAACACAAUGUUAAAUUAUCACAAAUGAUUCCCAUGUGUAAUACAGUAUAUAGUGAAUACUGUACAUUCAGAUGGAGUUCCUGCUUGUUCCAAAUUCUGAUUACAUUUUAAACAAAUAAAAUAGCUAGACUAUAAAUACUUAAUAUUUUUCAUAUUUUAUUCAGUAAAAAAUGAAAAUGAUAAAUGCGAAGAUUUUAAGGAUUUAAGCCAUGCCUUUAUAAAGCAAGAAGUUCCUGUGUGUGUUUGUGACUGAUCUGCAGUGACUUACAGCUCAGAGCACUGAGAGCCUCAACAGAGAACUGAACUGAUCUGAUUGAACAUGGACAGAUGCUUCAUACUGAUUCUUAUUGUUACUGUCAAUGUCUCAAUUGACAGAAAUAAUCCCUAAAUGAAGGGAAAUUGUCAAAUUGAGCUGCUCAUAUAGUACAAGUAGCAAUGGCUUUUCUGUUGUGGACAUUAUCUGAAGAGAGAACCCCAGUAUUUAUUACAAAAAGGCGACAACUUAUACUUAAGAUGCUACUUAUGCAAAAUACCCAUACUUGCAGUGAACCAGAAGAUGGCAGUAGGUGCUCAAUAUUACAUUUGAUGAUAUGGCAGCUUUUAUUGGGCUCCACAAGCUCCUCCUUGUAUUAUCAUUAUAAUAACAAAAACAAAACUGUCAUAUUCAAUGAUCUAUCUGGUCUUUAGCAUAGAUACAGUCAUGUCACACAGGUUGAUGAAUAUAUUUCUCCUCGCACUAUUCAUUAAUGGUAUGGAUUUUCAUUUAAUACAGCUGCAUAUUAAAGUAAGUUGUUUAUAUUUUGUAGUGCAGUACUGUACAUUACAUAUUCUUAAACCUUCACAGAAUGCAGAUCAGAGGACACAGUUGAUCAGCCAGACAAACAUCUUACUGAAGUUGAAGGAAGCUCAGUAGAAUUAAAGUGUAAAUAUAAAACAGAUUCAACACAAGAAGAUUUAUUCUGGUACAUCCA